GUUUAAAAAUACAUACAACCAAAAUCUUAUUUCUACAACCAAUUUCUUUAAGUA
rnacentral:sRNA from 1 species